rnacentral:rRNA from 1 species
AUUGAACGCUGGCGGAAUGCUUUACACAUGCAAGUCGAACGGUAGAGGGGGCAACCCCUCGAGAGUGGCGAACGGGUGAGUAAUAUAUCGGAACGUGCCCAGUCGUGGGGGAUAACGUAGCGAAAGUUACGCUAAUACCGCAUACGAUCUAAGGAUGAAAGCGGGGGAUCGCUAGACCUCGCGCGAUUGGAGCGGCCGAUAUCAGAUUAGGUAGUUGGUGGGGUAAAGGCUCACCAAGCCAACGAUCUGUAGCUGGUCUGAGAGGUCGACCAGCCACACUGGAACUGAGACACGGUCCAGACUCCUACGGGAGGCAGCAGUGGGGAAUUUUGGACAAUGGACGCAAGUCUGAUCCAGCCAUUCCGCGCGCAGGAUGAAGGCCCUCGGGUUGUAAACUGCUUUUGUACGGAACGAAAAGGUCUCUCUUAAUACGGGGGACUCAUGACGGUACCGUAAGAAUAAGCACCGGCUAACUACGUGCCAGCCGCCGCGGUAA